AGUGCGAGGGCAUAGAGCCCUCGCUUUUGUACACCGUAAGGUGGUGUACGAAUAAGAGCUGGGCAAGACCGGUGCCAGCCGCCGCGGUAAUACCGGCAGCUCGAGUGAUGGCCGAUCUUAUUGGGCCUAAAGCGUCCGUAGCUGGCCAGGCAAGUCCGUUGGGAAAUCUGCUCGCUUAACGNGCAGGCGUCCAGCGGAAACUGCUUGGCUUGGGACCGGAGGACCUGAGGGGUACGUCCGGGGUAGGAGUGAAAUCCUGUAAUCCUGGACGGACCACCGGUGGCGAAAGCGCCUCAGGAGGACGGAUCCGACAGUGAGGGACGAAAGCUAGGGUCUCGAACCGGAUUAGAUACCCGGGUAGUCCUAGCUGUAAACGAUGCUCGCUAGGUGUGGCGCAGGCUACGAGCCUGCGCUGUGCCGUAGGGAAGCCGAGAAGCGAGCCGCCUGGGAAGUACGUCUGCAAGGAUGAAACUUAAAGGAAUUGGCGGGGGAGCACUACAACCGGAGGAGCCUGCGGUUUAAUUGGACUCAACGCCGGACAUCUCACCGGCUCCGACAGUAGUAAUGACGGUCAGGUUGAUGACCUUACCCGACGCUACUGAGAGGAGGUGCAUGGCCGCCGUCAGCUCGUACCGUGAGGCGUCCUGUUAAGUCAGGCAACGAGCGAGACCCGCACCCCUAAUUGCCAGCAGUACCCUUUGGGUAGCUGGGUACAUUAGGGGGACUGCCGCUGCCAAAGCGGAGGAAGGAACGGGCAACGGUAGGUCAGUAUGCCCCGAAUGAGCCGGGAAACACGCGGGCUACAAUGAUUGAGACAAUGGGAAGCCACUCCG
rnacentral:rRNA from 1 species